GGCAGAAGUCUUCCAUAAAUUUUGCAACGAAAAACAGAAAAUGUUAUAGAGUUACACUAGCCCUUAGAGACUCUUUAGAUGGUGGUGGAAACUGAGGGGUGGCAGAUCAUUGAUCACCUUCAACUGUUUGGUCCAUGUGAAAGGCUUUGCGCGCGACUCCUGCACAAUGACUCCUACACGCGACGGUUUAAGCGUGAGGAGGCAACCAGAUACUGCGGCGGUGGCCGGAGAGCUCCUGCGCAGGGAGGCAGCCAAACAACUUGGCUGCUACUAGAAGUACUCCGGCGAUCACAAGUCGCGAAUGAUGAUGCUGGAUUAGACGGCAGCGUCAACCCCAAUUUCCGCGACUCGGACCACCUGCACAUCCCAGCGUUGGAGGACCACCCAGAAGUCGCUAAGCUGAUCCUGUAGCACUAUGCAAACUCUUGGAUACGGAAAAUGCAUUCCAGACAGUGAAAUUCUCACAGCUUUUCCCUAACAACUUAAUGCUUGUUACAGCAACAAUAUCCCAGCUUUUUCAUAUUAACCAUCU
rnacentral:lncRNA from 1 species